rnacentral:rRNA from 1 species
AUUGAACGCUGGCGGCAGGCCUAACACAUGCAAGUCGAACGAGUGGCGGACGGGUGAGUAAUGUAUGGGAAACUGCCUGAUGGAGGGGGAUAACUACUGGAAACGGUAGCUAAUACCGCAUACCAUAAGAUGUGCCCAGAUGGGAUUAGCUAGGUGGUUGGGUAACGGCUCACCAAGGCGAAGAUCCCUCGCUGGUCUGAGAGGAUGACCGGCCACACUGGACCGACUAGACGGUCCAUACUCCUACGGGAGGCAGCAGUGGGUAAUAUUGCACCAUGGGCGCAAGCCUGAUGCAGCCAUGCCGCGUGUAUGAAGAAUGCCUUCGGGUUGUAAAGUACUUUCGGCGGGGAGGCGUUACCCGCAGAAGAAGCAACGGCUAACUCCGUGCCAGCAGCCGCGGUAAUUC